AGCUGAUGGUCUUCUGGGCAGUUGGGUGUUUCGUGAGGUUGGCCUCUUGGAGCAGCACCUACGAGAUCUUCCAGCUUGGAAG
rnacentral:SRP_RNA from 1 species